ensembl:lncRNA novel transcript
AGUUGGGCUCAGAACCUGCGAGGAUGGCAGCGGUGUCCAGCAGUGAAGACUGAAGGUGUCCACAGCUGUGAUAGGGGCUUCUGGGUCCUCUUGCUUGCUUUUCUUCACAGGAAGAAGUCCCUCCUAGCUCCUAGGGGGUUUGAUUGUGAGCGGCAAGGGUGUGGCAGAGAUUAUGCUCCAAGACACUGAAUCUGAAAGGAUGCAUCCAGUCUUGCCAAGUGGUUUCACUACCAAGGCCAGUCUCCAUCUAUGAUAGACCCAAGGAAGAUCAUUUACAACUAGAAUCUAGUCAUUUAGGAGAUUGUGUGCUCCCUGGAUGGGCCAUCUGCACUGGUGUGAGGUUUAUCUCAUUGAAGGGAAAACCAAAGGAAUCUUCUUGAAUAUCAGCACCAGGAAGAGCAGUACAAACUGGAGAAGCUGGGGUCACACUACGCCAGUCCUGAUUCAGUGUAAGGGAUGACAGACCUACAAGAAUUACAGAAGGCUAAGAUUAUUAGAGCUCAUCUCAGUAGCUGGCUACCACAAUCAAGUAGAAGCAAUAUGCUGAUAAGACACUUGUGAAUAUGGGCACCAUGUCUUCUCUUUCUUGGUUUCAGACACACAGAAGAAUUACAUUUCUCUACUCCCAUGCAGGCAGAUGGGGACAUCUGAGUACUAAUGGCCAACUGAUUAUGAGUAGAAGUAACACCAAAGCCUUUGUCUGUGAAAGAUCUGCAAUUCUCUCUUCUAUUGCAGCAAUGGAGGUCACAUACUUCAAAUGGUACACAGCUAGUAAGGUGGUAAAGCCUUCAUCAGACUGGGUCCUUGAGUGACUAUGUAACGGAUGCAAGAAACAAAACUUUUAUGUGUGUCUUAAACUGCUGAGAUUUUGGAGUUGUUAGUUAACAGAAUGUAGCCUAGACUAUUCUGAUUUUCAAAGUGUUCUUCCAUGAAAAAUAAGUUCUAAACUGAAUUGUUGGCAGUCAACCCAAAUCUUUCUUUUAUAGCCACUGCUGGUUGAUCCCAUAAUAUAAAUUAAUUCAUAAUUGUUUCUGACCUUCAGUUUCUUGGACAAUUCAAUUUAUUCUCCAGUUCUGUUCCCACCUUUAGUCACUAGAAGAUGCAGUGUUGUCACCACUUAUUAGUAAAUCACAAAACGAACAUUUAUAAA